UGUUCUCCAUCCUUGAUCUCAGAAACUGUUUGAGUUCCGUCGAGGAGUCAAAAGGUGUGUAUCUAUCUGUUCCCUGGCCUUCAGUAUGGAAGGCCUCUACCUAUCAGCAUCCAGUAACACGGAGACGGUCCACAUCUUCAAACUAGAGACGCAGAAAGAGAAGCCAACAGAGGAG